CCUACACCUGCCGUCCGGCGCCAAGGGCACUCCACCCGCCGUCCCCUGCACCCAGUUGCACGGCGUACUGCUCCUCCAAGGCGGGGCUCCUCGAGAACAUGUCCCGCUGCACACGAAUUCGAUGCUGAAAUUUGAAGCUUGCUGCGAGAAUGAUAUGACGAUGUCCCUGCUGGCCGCCGCCUAGGAAACUGGGACACUUUGCGUAACCAAAGUCAGUUCUAAAAUUGGAUUAACUUGAAGCAUGGCCAACACUUCUUUUGAUUCGAACUGGGAUUGUCGUUGAUGGAGAAGUGAUCAUGGUAACUAUGGUAUUAAUUUAGAUAUAUGUGAUCGCAAAGGUUCAGAAGAUGUAUUUGAUUGGAGCAAGAUGUGAGUUCUUUUCCAGAACUAAUUUGGUUUAUUUUGCUUUGACUAUAGAUUGCAUGCCCUUUGAAUUGAUAUUAUUGUUUGACCUUAGCCUGCAGUCUAUGGAGCUGAAAUCUUGCUGCUCUCUGAUUUUUUAUUGAUGUAGAAACAAGCAACCUGGCAUCUCAAUUCAAACCUUGUGCCCUCUCUUUGUGUUUGAUUUGUCGUAUAUGUGUGUUUCCUCGGGACAUAUAAUUUAGAGCUAAACUUUUAUGCUUUAACCUGCAAGCUUGUGACCAUUCAAACCUUGAUAUGGGACACAUGCCAAGCGGCAUAGGGCUUGGCAGACACAAAGGUGUAAUGUGCGACACAGGUCUAUUAUGUUCAUGUACAUGUGCAAAUAAUGUUGUUUUUACCAGGUCACCUAAACUGUCAGCUCUCUUUCGCUCCAAGGGUUGUAGACUGAUCGGAGGCUGAUGA